rnacentral:rRNA from 1 species
GUGGGGAAUAUUGCACAAUGGGCGCAAGCCUGAUGCAGCGACGCCGCGUGAGCGAUGAAGGCCUUUGGGUCGUAAAGCUCUGUCCUUGGGGAAGAAGAAAGUGACGGUACCCUUGGAGGAAGCCCCGGCUAACUACGUGCCAGCAGCCGCGGUAAUACGUAGGGGGCAAGCGUUAUCCGGAAUUAUUGGGCGUAAAGAGUGCGUAGGUGGUCUUGUAAGCGCGGGGUGAAAGUCAAUAGCUCAACUAUUGUGAGCCCUGCGAACUGUGAGACUUGAGUGCAGGAGAGGAAAGCGGAAUUCCUAGUGUAGCGGUGAAAUGCGUAGAUAUUAGGAGGAACACCAGUGGCGAAGGCGGCUUUCUGGACUGUAACUGACACUGAGGCACGAAAGCGUGGGGAGCAAACAGGAUUAGAUACCCUAGUAGUCC